GAGGCUAAAGAGGGCGAAGGCCCUGAGGCCCUGCUGCAAUCAUUAAGGAGAGUGAUUCGGGGUCAGGUAGAUCUUGGAUUCACGUUCUAACUCUACCACCUCAUUGCUGAGAGCUCAGGUGGUACCUGGGUCCGAGGACAGCCUGACCUCAGCCUGGAGAAAGGGGGACUGAAAAGGGCCUGGGCUAGAGACAGGAAUGAGCCCGUGUGGCCCAAAUCCCGGGACACUGGGGUGACUCCCUGCAACUUGGAAGCUCGAAAGAAAGAGCUCAGAAGGAAAGCAAAGGCAUUUCUGCUUCCCAGAGCAGAGGCUGUCAGUAUGGGAUGUCACAUGCAGAGACGUGACCGAGGCCAAGAUUGGAAAUAUUUAAAUGUCACUUUGGGAGGCCGAAGGAGGGGAUC